UAAGUUGCAGGGUAUAGACCCGAAACCCGGUGAUCUAGCCAUGGGCAGGUUGAAGGUUGGGUAACACUAACUGGAGGACCGAACCGACUAAUGUUGAAAAAUUAGCGGAUGACCUGUGGCUGGGGGUGAAAGGCCAAUCAAACCGGGAGAUAGCUGGUUCUCCCCGAAAGCUAUUUAGGUAGCGCCUCGUGAAUUCAUCUCCGGGGGUAGAGCACUGUUUCGGCUAGGGGGCCAUCCCGGCUUACCAACCCGAUGCAAACUGCGAAUACCGGAGAAUGUUAUCACGGGAGACACACGGCGGGUGCUAACGUCCGUCGUGAAGAGGGAAACAACCCAGACCGCCAGCUAAGGUCCCAAAGUCAUGGUUAAGUGGGAAACGAUGUGGGAAGGCCCAGACAGCCAGGAUGUUGGCUUAGAAGCAGCCAUCAUUUAAAGAAAGCGUAAUAGCUCACUGGUCGAGUCGGCCUGCGCGGAAGAUGUAACGGGGCUAAACCAUGCACCGAAGCUGCGGCAGCGAACGUAUCACCCAAGACAACUUUACGGAGUUGACGAUUGACGGAGCGAAGCGACGUCAAAGCGUUCAUUAAAGUCAAGUUGGCUUAGGGAUACGUUCGUUGGGUAGGGGAGCGUUCUGUAAGCCUGUGAAGGUGUGUCGUGAGGCAUGCUGGAGGUAUCAGAAGUGCGAAUGCUGACAUAAGUAACGAUAAAGCGGGUGAAAAGCCCGCUCGCCGGAAGACCAAGGGUUCCUGUCCAACGUUAAUCGGGGCAGGGUGAGUCGACCCCUAAGGCGAGGCCGAAAGGCGUAGUCGAUGGGAAACGGGUUAAUAUUCCCGUACUUGGUGUUACUGCGAAGGGGGGACGGAGAAGGCUAUGUUGGCCGGGCGACGGUUGUCCCGGUUUAAGCGUGUAGGUGUGUGUUCCAGGUAAAUCCGGUUCACUUUAACACUGAGGCGUGACGACGAGGCACUACGGUGCUGAAGCAACAAAUGCCCUGCUUCCAGGAAAAGCCUCUAAGCAUCAGGUAACACGAAAUCGUACCCCAAACCGACACAGGUGGUCAGGUAGAGAAUACCAAGGCGCUUGAGAGAACUCGGGUGAAGGAACUAGGCAAAAUGGUGCCGUAACUUCGGGAGAAGGCACGCUGACACGUAGGUGAAGUGAUUUACUCAUGGAGCUGAAGUCAGUCGAAGAUACCAGCUGGCUGCAACUGUUUAUUAAAAACACAGCACUGUGCAAACACGAAAGUGGACGUAUACGGUGUGACGCCUGCCCGGUGCCGGAAGGUUAAUUGAUGGGGUCAGCG
rnacentral:rRNA from 1 species